CAGCCGCCACGGUAAUACGUAGGUCCCGAGCGUUGUCCGGAUUUAUUGGGCGUAAAGCGAGCGCAGGCGGUUAGAUAAGUCUGAAGUUAAAGGCCGUGGCUUAACCAUAGUACGCUUUGGAAACUGUUUAACUUGAGUGCAGAAGGGGAGAGUGGAAUUCCACGUGUAGCGGUGAAAUGCGUAGAGAUGUGGAGGAACACCAGUGGCGAAGGCGACUCUCUGGUCUGUAACUGGCGCUGAGGAGCGAAAGCGUGGGGAGCGAACAGGAUUAGAUACCCCAGUAGUCCCUGUCUCUUAUACA
rnacentral:rRNA from 1 species